GCCCAUCUAGCUCAAUUGGAUAGAGCGUCAGAAUCCUACUGUGAAGGUUGGGGGUUCGAAAUCCUCGAUGCGUU
rnacentral:tRNA from 1 species